GUGCUCACUUCAGCAGCACAUAUACUACAACUGGAAUGAUAACAGAGAUUAUUGUGCCCCCUGCACAAGGAUGACACGCAAAUUCGUGAAGCUUUCCAUAUUUUU